rnacentral:rRNA from 1 species
AGAACCUGCGGAAGGAUCAUUAUUGAAAUAAACCUGAUGGGUUGCUGCUGGUUCUCUAGGGAGCAUGUGCACACCUUGUCAUCUUUAUAUCUCCACCUGUGCACCUUUUGUAGGCCCUGGAUGUUUUCUCCAUGGUCUAUGUUGCUUCUGCAUUUACUCCAAUGUAUGUCAAUAGAAUGUAUGUGCCUUAUGAAAUCUAUACAACUUUCAGCAACGGAUCUCUUGGCUCUCGCAUCGAUGAAGAACGCAGCGAAAUGCGAUAAGUAAUGUGAAUUGCAGAAUUCAGUGAAUCAUCGAAUCUUUGAACGCACCUUGCGCUCCUUGGUAUUCCGAGGAGCAUGCCUGUUUGAGUGUCAUUAAUAUAUAUCAACCUCUUCUUUGUUGGAGUGGUUUGGAUGUGGGGGGUUUGCUGGCCUCUUAAAGGGUCAGCUCCUCUGAAAUGCAUUAGCAGAACGACCUGUUCAUUGGUGUGAUAACUAUCUACGCUAUUGAACAGUGAAGGCAGUUCAGCUUUCUAACCGUCCUUGGACAAUUUAUCAUUAAUGUGACCUCAAAUCAGGUAGGACUACCCGCUGAACUUAAG